rnacentral:lncRNA from 1 species
GUUUCACACCAUCUGUGGGAUAGUGCAGUGUGAAGGGUGUGAGCAAGACCUUGUGUCCUAGUAAUGCAAUGAGUUUUGUACUGCGAAUACCAAAGAUGGAUGUGCUGUGGGAUGCUAGCAAGAGAUCCAAAUGACAGGCAUUUAAUUCCUCACGAUGCUGCCGAAUGGACCCUCCUGAGGCUAUGGAUGGACCAGCUCUUGAAGGCUGCUGGUGGAAGAUGUGGCAAAUGCAGGAAUAACCGUGUAGCUGUGCAGAGGACCUCAGGCCAUAGGUGUCUUCUCAGCCGUUGAGGCCUACUUAGGUUUGGGGCCAGAGGGCACCAUUUCUUCCGGUUAAGAUGGCUGACACCGUUGAAAUUUUCAAGCACGCAAUAUUCUUGUCUUUAUGCUACUCUAAUUGUAUUAAUAUAUUUGACCAAAAAAGGGAGAGGUGUUUUUUUUUUAAAAGGCACUUCAUUUGUAUUACACGCAUACUCUCAUGUUAUAUGUGAACAGUUCACCCUCCAUCCAAUUCAAACCUGUUUGAGGCCUCCUUAAUUAAACUAAGUCUUAAAAUGGGGCUUUGAGCAAUUGUUUCAUGCUGAAAAAUAUAUACACAAAGAAAGAAAACGUGUCCCAUUAAUCUUGGGAGUGUAGGAUAUAUUAUUACUAUUAAUUCCUGUAAUCAGGAGGAAAACAUAACAAAUUACUCUUAAUAAGCCUUUCAGACAGAAUUUUCUUAUAAUCUACAGGCUCAUUUGUAUCUAUUUAUUUUUUUUACCAAAUGAAAUUAACACUUGCUGCACACUCUAUAUGACCUAUAUUUGUUCAUUGGCAAAUACGACACAGCCUAAAAUCCGGGUAUUUAUUUAUUUUUAAUGGCCAGCACAAGAUAUGGGGAAAAGUACUUGAUUUUUUUUCAGUAUGUGGAAAGACUCCCACUCUUUCUGUACAUUUCCUUCUUACGUUUCUUAAAAGUGGAAGUUGCAUGAUAAAAGGGAACGACCUUUCUUUGCGGAAUCACGUUCUAGGAAAAUGGGGACAUUUCUCUUACCUUUCAACCCUAGCAAAGUGCUUUGUUGUCUCUCUGAUUUCAGUAUUUUGGCUUGCACGAUUUAAUCUCUGCCAAAGCGAC